GCAGCCGCGGCGGGAGAUGUCGAGCUUCGCGCCGACUGCCGAAGGAGCAAAUCCUCCCCGGGACACUCUCAGGCCCCCGAACCGCCGCGGCCAG
rfam:Corynebacterium falsenii DSM 44353 strain BL 8171, complete genome.